AUUGAACGCUGGCGGCAGGCCUAACACAUGCAGGUCGAGCGGCAGCGGGAAAGUAGCUUGCUACUUUUGCCGGCGAGCGGCGGACGGGUGAGUAAUGCCUGGGAAAUUGCCCAGUCGAGGGGGAUAACAGUUGGAAACGACUGCUAAUACCGCAUACGCCCUACGGGGGAAAGCAGGGGACCUUCGGGCCUUGCGCGAUUGGAUAUGCCCAGGUGGGAUUAGCUAGUUGGUGAGGUAAUGGCUCACCAAGGCGACGAUCCCUAGCUGGUCUGAGAGGAUGAGCAGCAACACUGGAACUGAGACACGGUCCAGACUCCUACGGGAGGCAGCAGUGGGGAAUAUUGCACAAUGGGGGAAACCCUGAUGCAGCCAUGCCGCGUGUGUGAAGAAGGCCUUCGGGUUGUAAAGCACUUUCAGCGAGGAGGAAAGGUUGAUGCCUAAUACGUAUCAACUGUGACGUUACUCGCAGAAGAAGCACCGGCUAACUCCGUGCCAGCCGCCGCAGUAAGAC
rnacentral:rRNA from 1 species